rnacentral:lncRNA from 1 species
AUGCCUCACCCCCCUGGGGGGGCUGGGGAGCCUGGGCACGGGGGCAUGUCUGGGCUGCAAGAUAGGCAUCGGUAUCCACGGAAUUGGCCCGCAAACACCCCAGCCCCCUCCGCCCCGUCCCGGAUGUCGGAAAAUUUCCCGGGAACACGGUGGGCCCACCGGGGCCCAUUUUCGGAAAAAUUCAAAAAUGGAGCAUGGGCAUCGCCCUUGCUUUAGGCAUACAUGGGGCUUUAUUUUCUUAUUGUAGGUGAGGCAUCGAGGUGUUGUGUAGCCUAUAAUAGCCCCAGUCGGAACUGACGCGGGCCCGAAUAUGAAUUGACGGAAUUUUAUGCGGCUGUGAUGGCCGUAGAGGGCGAGGCCGAGACAUGGAUGG